rnacentral:tRNA from 1 species
AAAUAGCUCAGUUGAGAGAGCGUUAGACUGAAGAUCUAAAAAGGUCCCUGGUUCGAUCCCGGGUUCUA